rnacentral:rRNA from 1 species
AUUGAACGCUGGCGGCAGGCUUAACACAUGCAAGUCGAGCGGAGAUGAGGUGCUUGCACCUUAUCUUAGCGGCGGACGAGUGAGUAAUGCUUAGGAAUCUGCCUAUUAGUGGGGGACAACAUUCCGAAAGGAAUGCUAAUACCGCAUACGUCCUACGGGAGAAAGCAGGGGAUCUUCGGACCUUGCGCUAAUAGAUGAGCCUAAGUCGGAUUAGCUAGUUGGUGGGGUAAAGGCCUACCAAGGCGACGAUCUGUAGCGGGUCUGAGAGGAUGAUCCGCCACACUGGGACUGAGACACGGCCCAGACUCCUACGGGAGGCAGCAGUGGGGAAUAUUGGACAAUGGGGGAAACCCUGAUCCAGCCAUGCCGCGUGUGUGAAGAAGGCCUUAUGGUUGUAAAGCACUUUAAGCGAGGAGGAGGCUACUGAGACUAAUACUCUUGGAUAGUGGACGUUACUCGCAAAAUAAGCACCGGCUAACUCUGUGCCAGCCGCCGCGGUAAGAC